rnacentral:rRNA from 1 species
GGGUGAGUAACACGUAUCCAACCUUCCCAUAACUCGGGGAUAGCCUUUCGAAAGAAAGAUUAAUACCCGAUAGUACUUAAGAAAGGCAUCUUUUUUAAGUUAAAGAUUUAUUGGUUAUGGAUGGGGAUGCGUUCCAUUAGAUAGUUGGUGAGGUAACGGCUCACCAAGUCUUCGAUGGAUAGGGGUUCUGAGAGGAAGGUCCCCCACAUUGGUACUGAGACACGGACCAAACUCCUACGGGAGGCAGCAGU